rnacentral:rRNA from 1 species
UACGGAGGGUGCAAGCGUUAUCCGGAUUCACUGGGUUUAAAGGGUGCGUAGGUGGGUCUGUAAGUCCGUGGUGAAAUCUCCGAGCUUAACUUGGAAACUGCCAUGGAUACUAUAGGUCUUGAAUACUGUGGAGGUCAGCGGAAUAUGUCAUGUAGCGGUGAAAUGCUUAGAUAUGACAUAGAACACCAAUUGCGAAGGCAGCUGGCUACACAAAUAUUGACACUGAGGCACGAAAGCGUGGGGAGCAAACAGG